AACCUUAAACUAGCAGCGCACGUCACUUUCUGAGUGAAGUGCGCGACGUGCGCGUGCCCGUAAUUUUGUAACGGUCAACUUCCAGCGGACGGACACGGAGGAAAGGGCCUGACAACCACCAGUUGAGUCCAUGAUUCAGGGAAGAGACAGUCUGGGCAGCAGCAACAAGACAACUAUUACAAGUAGAGAUGGGUUUCAAGAACUGGUACUAAUUUGGUUCCUGACUUGUUCGACACAACCACAUAUCCUCCAAAUCAUCUCUGCGUGGAUGGCAGCAAGGAUCCAGGAUCAAGAGAUCAUUCUUCAUGGAGACUUCCACAGGAAGCAGUUUCUCCUGGGUGAAAAACUCAACCUGGUUGUUUCAGCAUCACUCAGGCAAGACUAAAUACUUUUAAAUUGAUUUCAGUUGGUUAUGUGUUUCAGGUCAUCCUGACCAUUCUGCUGUCCUGGAUGUAAGUCCGUGCAGGAACUACAUUUCUCGUUGUUGAAAGAUUUGUGCAGCGGUAUCCAGACAUAUAACGCCCCAUCACACGGGGCGUCAACGCCUCUCGUUUACUUUUAAAUGAAGUGACGUCAAGGAUGGUGAAAUCAAUUCUAGAAAUUAAUUCUAAAUAGAAGUUGAAGACUUUUCAAGCGACAAUGCAGCCGUCCUCCAGUCAGAACAUCUUAUGCAAAUACCCUAGCGCAGACGCAAGCCAAUCAAGUGCAUGCAAUACCAGAAAACUAAUGUGAUUGGCUGUCACUAUGAGAAGAGACAGUAAUUCUGAUCCGAUAUCAGUGUCGUUUUUUUGCAAAAACAAUUUUAAAUCAAUGUAGAAUUUUCUAUACUUCUGUGUAGGGAUGUCA